rnacentral:rRNA from 1 species
GAUGAACGCUAGCGGCAGGCCUAAUACAUGCAAGUCGAACGAUAGUGAGAAGCUUGCUUCUCACGAAAGUGGCGCACGGGUGCGUAACGCGUAUGCAACCUACCUUAAUCAGGGGGAUAGCCCGAAGAAAUUCGGAUUAACACCGCAUAAAAUCACAGUAUAGCAUUAUACAAUGAUCAAAUAUUUAUAGGAUUAAGAUGGGCAUGCGUGACAUUAGUUAGUUGGCGGGGUAACUGCCCACCAAGACCACGAUGUCUAGGGGAUCUGAGAGGAUAACCCCCCACACUGGUACUGAGACACGGACCAGACUCCUACGGGAGGCAGCAGUAAGGAAUAUUAGGCAAUGGAGGCAACUCUGAACCAGCCAUGCCGCGUGCAGGAAGACAGCCCUCUGGGUCGUAAACUGCUUUUAUUCGGGAAUAAACCUAUCUACGUGUAGAUAGCUGAAUGUACCGAAGGAAUAAGGAUCGGCUAACUCCGUGCCAGCCGCCGCAGUAA